CACUAAGUAAUUUUAGAAAUUUUUUUAUUUAAAAUUUAAUAUGUUUGUUUAUGCAGAAUAUCAAUUACUUUUAAAUAUGUAUUGUUUAAUAAUGUAAUUGUUAAUUGUUAAAUAUUAAUAUAGCAUCCCUUUACUUGGAUCCAGUGACCGGGACGGGUAAGGAGUGUUAAACUCGGGCUAUGUCCUAGCUUCUUGUACUCAACCUUUUUCCCCGCUUACUUUUCUUAAAAUCCCUUGCUUGAACUAAUCCUGUAGUAGUUCAUCCAUAUUGUUAACAAAUUCGGUCAAUGGGACUUUAGAGGAAGAGACUUUGAAAGGCCUUCUUUUUUCCCUAAUUAUUUUUUGAGCUUCUGCCCUUUAAUGCUUCCAUUUCCUUUCCCCCUGUUGAUGCGCAAGUUAGAAGCAACCACUCGACGCCCCACUUCUUCUUUGGGCUUGGGCACACAUCCCUCUCACCUUCGGGGUUAACGUUCUCUUUGAAAUGAAUGGAUGAAUGUUUGGUCGAAUCUAAAACCUCGUCCGUUGGGAUCACCGUGACCUCCACCAAACCUCCGGCAUUGAGCUGUUGACUAACUUUGGGAGCGAGAAUCGCGGGAUGAGUCGUGCUGCGCCUUCCCUUCAAGGCUUCCUCCUAUUGCACCAUGAAGGCCCUUGUAUCUGUUAAGACGUUCGUCACUGGAGUUUCUCCUACGUGCAAAGUCAUCAGAGCAGUCGAAUCCCGAGUCCCCCCUGAAUUGUCGCCGCUAACUAGGUUUCCAAAGGCUGAAAUCUUGUGUUGCCCUGCGCCUUCUCCCUGGUCUUGCCGCCGCUGACCCUUCCUCCUUUUGUCUAAUGGUGAUUCCUUUUUCAACGAGAAUCCAUGGGCCAUAAACGCUUGCCAAGGGUCUACCAUUAUCUAGUACAGGCUCCUUCCUUGUACUCCCAUCCUCCAUCGCGACCUCCCCUCCUACCUUGAUCUGUUCGUUCUUUGAUUUGGGGAAAAUAUCUUGUGUAUGCCUGUAGUGCCCACAAGAAAAGCAUACCAUGGGAAGGUAUUCAUAUUCAAUUCAUUGCAAUACCUCAUUGAUUAAGACCUGAGAAACUAACGCCCUUCCAAGGUUGACAUAAACCGCCAUACGUACGAACUUCCCUCAAACACCAUUGUCUGUGUUAAAAUCUAGUUUUGCAACCCUACCUAUCAUUCCCCCUAUUUCCCAUAGGAUCUUCUUUUUGUACAUAUGUCCCAACAGGCCGGGAAGAAUCCAUGUCAUAACCACAUUCCGGUAGGGUUGCGAGGGGUUGAAAUCCAUACCUUAUGGUUGCACUGUAAGAUAUUGGCCAUAAACAAUCCAUGGCCCCAAGCAUAAAACCUUCUCAAAAUGCUUAGGGUUUUGAAAUUUAGCCAAAAAUUAGCCAUUCUCAAUGUACAUUAAUCGAAAUGUUUCGGAUGGCAGCCAUAACGUACAAAUUUUCUUUUGCAAUGCCGCAUAGCCAAUAUUCCGUCCUAGAAGCUUGAUUACCACCGUAUGCUCCAUAUCUUUAAUAAGUAUUUGGUUUAUCCGUUCAGAGAAAUAUAUUGCCGGAAUGCCAUUAAUCGAAAACCUCACAAUAUCCUUUUCAAGUAGAUCAAAAUAUUCAACAUCCUCAAUCUUUCUGUUAUUGUUACUUCCCUAUCGGCUCGAAGACCUGUCCCAAUAAGGCAAUCCUUCUAAGAUCGAGGCCUCCCUGGGGACAACACCACUUCCAUGACAACAUUCGCCACCCUUACUGGAUUGCUAGAAUUUCUAGAAUUUGCCAAUUGCCUAUCACCACCUCUGCCUUCUCUAUUCUCUCGUUUAAUAGAUUCCAUUCAAAAACUUCUUUCCUAACUAAUGAUAUUUUAAAUACAUAAAAAUUUUAGGAAAAAAAUAGUAUAUUUUAUAUAUUUGGUUUAAAUAUGUUCAAAGCCUCUAUACAUUUUCAAAAUUUAAAAUUUAAUCCAUAUACUUUAACUUUUAAAUAUUGAAUCGUCGUAUUUUUCUGGAUUUGAAAAUAUUUGUCCAGCCACUAACUCUAUUUAUUUUUCAGUUGAGUUAGAAUUUAUAAAUACUUUCAAACAAAAAAAAUUCCAUGGUGGAACAUAUUUACUAUUUAUUUAAACCUUUUAGAAUAAAUGGACUUUUUAAGGGGGAAAAAGCUCCCUUUUAAAAUAACACGAUACUCCACCCCAAGUUCUUUAAAAAUUUGUUCUCUACAACCUCAAUCCGUGUAAUUUCCACUAAAACUCGAAGAUAUUAAUAACUGAAGAAAUCAAAAGUAACGUAGAAAUUUGAAAUGGUCAUGAAGAAGCUAAAGAAAUAGAAGAAUGUUGGUAAAAUUAAUUAUGGUUCUUUAAUAAUUUUCUUUUCAGAUUAGUUAUGACUCCUUUCAUCUACUAGGUUUGGGAUGGGUUUUCCAAGUACACUAUUCAAUUUUCUUCAAUGAUGCUAGAAAUUGUUGAGUAAUAUUUUGCUUGCCCCUUAUUGAUAUGAGUAUCCAGGUAUUUAUACAUGUUGUUACUGAUACUAUUACAGCGCACUAUUUAGUACUAACUUUGCUGCUUCCAGUACUGACAUUCUUUAUCCCUAGUACUGACAUUCUGUGAACUUUAGGUUUGCUGGGCACGUGUCUACGGAGCACGCGGUCCUUUCUAAUCCUGGUGGCAUUUUGGGUGAGCUCUGUACCUAGUGGACACGUGCCUGGGUAGCCUGCGGAGCACGUGGCACCUCUUGCUAUUUCCUUGCAUACAUGCGAAGUGAGAUUGCGACCUUACCUAGGUCCCCACGAACUGGGUCUAUAACUUUAUCUCGUGAACUGGUUCUGUGAGCUGUACCUGCGAUCCUGCCCUAUGAGCUCCGCCAGGUUCCUGCGAGCUGGGUCUAUAGCCUUGCCUUACGAUUUGGUUCGCCUUGUUGUCCUCUCAUGGUCAGGUAAUGGGUCGGAGGCUCGGAUCUUUUCUCGGAAUCGAGUCUCAGGUUAUUGACGUAUAACAAAAAUCAAUUUGAGUUUAAAGGUUUAGGAUAAUUGACUUUGAAGGAGAUGAGUUUAGUAGUCUUAAUUUCAAUUUUGAUUGGAAAUGAAUAAAAACCCAAAUAAUAUUCUAAUA